rnacentral:lncRNA from 1 species
UCUCAAUCUAUUGAAUGAUAAGAAAGCUUUAAGUUUGGAUACAAAAAGUGAUUAUCAAAACAUCAAUUCCAUGUCUAGAACCUAUGUUUUGAUAGAUGAUUAUUCUAAACCUAGAUUCAAAAGUAUUUCUCAAUCACAAUUAAAUCAAACAUAAGCAUUAAAGUGCAAGAAUAACAUCAAUAUCAAAUCAAAUACUAGAACCAUAUAUUUUUAGAUCAAAAGAUUACAUGUUAAGCUAAGAUCAAGUACCUCUAAUCCCAACAAAGGAGAUUUAACUACUCAUUGUCAUGGAAGCCUUGCAAGAAUGAAUUGAAAGAGAAGGAU